rnacentral:rRNA from 1 species
UACAGAGGGGGCAAGCGUUGUUCGGAAUCACUGGGCGUAAAGCGUAUGUAGGCGGAUCGUUAAGUCGGGGGUGAAAUCCCGAGGCUCAACCUCGGAACUGCCUUCGAUACUGGCGAUCUUCGAGUCCGGGAGAGGUGAGUGGAACUCCGAGUGUAGAGGUGAAAUUCGUAGAUAUUCGGAAGAACACCAGUGGCGAAGGCGGCUCACUGGCCCGGUACUGACGCUGAGGCACGAAAGCGUGGGGAGCAAACAGG